ensembl:snoRNA SNORA2C small nucleolar RNA, H/ACA box 2C
GUGGCCCUGACUGAAGACCAGCAGUUACUCUCUGGCUGUUGGUUUCAAGCAGAGGCCUAAAGUAUGGUCUUUCUGUGUCUGCUGGCUGCUCUGGAACCUUGGCAGAGAAUGGCUGUUUGAUUCAGAAGAAACAAAC